GCCAACAAUAAUGUACAAACAUACACCAAAGACAAAACAAAACAUUUGACUAACCUAGUAGAUGAGAUCGAACAGUAAACACAAUCAGUACCGCAAGGGAAAUAUACAAGCAAUAAACAGCAAAGAUUGACCCUUGUACCUUUCGCAUCAUGGUCUAGCAAGAAAUUAAAGACAAGAAGAAUCACAGCCUUCACCCCGAAACCAGAUGAGCUACUUUCAAGCAGCCCAAGGGGCUCACCCUUCUCUGUGGCAAAAGAGUGGGAAGACUUAAAAGUAGAAGUGAAACGCCUACCGAAUCUGGAGAUAGCUGGCUACCUAAAAAAGAAUAUAAGUUCAACCACAGAACCCAUAAGAACACAUUCUCCACUGUGGAAAAUCAAUGGGGGUUCAGCCCUAUUGAAACAGGAUACAACCUGAAUUUGAGAGAACAAAUCAACCCUAACCGGUAGGCUUUAAAGCAGCCACCCAGCAAAAUAUCGUUAAAGAAUUCUCAAACCAAUCCCAACACCAACUCCAAACUCCAAACCAACUAAAGGUAGACCCAUAAUAAUGAGUACUAUUAUGCUAGAACUAAUAAUAAGACAACCUCUCUUUAUGCACCUUUACACUAAACCGGACCAACCACUAGCCAUUAACAGACCACACCAGGCAUCAACCAAACAAUACACAACUAUAAACCACACUGUUACCCCAACACAGGCGCAUUAAAAAGAAAGAUUUACUAUUAUAAAAGGAACUCGGCAAACAAAGAUUCCAACUGUUUACAAAAAACAUAACCUUUAGAUUAACUAAUAUUAAAGGCAACGCCUGCCCAGUGAAUAUUAAACGGCCGCGGUACCCUAACCGUGCAAAGGUAGCGUAAUCACUUGUUUACUAAUUAUAGACCUGUAUGAAAGGCAAAAUGAGAAUCUGACUGUCUCUUAUAAUAAAUCAAUUAAACUGAUCUCCCAGUUAAAAAGCUAGGAUUAAACCAUAAGACCAGAAGACCCUGUGAAGCUUUAACUAAACUAUUAAAUCCCAUAAUACCUACUUUUGGUUGGGGCGACCUUGGAAAAAAAAAGAACUUCCAACAACACGACCUACCUCGCACUAUACCCACUAGGCCCACAAGCCAAUUAAUGACCCAGCAAAGCUGAUAAACGAACCAAGUUACUCCAGGGAUAACAGCGCAAUCCUCUUCAAGAGCCCAUAUCAAAAGGAGGGUUUACGACCUCGAUGUUGGAUCAGGACAUCCUAAUGGUGCAAACGCUAUUAAGGGUUCGUUUGUUCAACGAUCAACAGUCCUACGUGAUCUGAGUUC
rnacentral:rRNA from 1 species